rnacentral:piRNA from 1 species
UGCCUACCUGCCAUGGUACCGGGUUUAC